UUUUAUAGAUCGAUCCCCGGUAGCUCAGCCUGGUAGAGCGGGAAGCUGUAGCGUACUGCAGCCCUUUUUAGCGAUGAAAAGGGAAACACAGGGUGAAUUCAGGGAAGCCUUCGCUAGUGGUGAAAAUCAAUAGCAUGGUAAUCCUGAGCCAACUCCGAUGAAUGGAAUAAACGUAGUCGGAAAGGUGCAGAGACUAGGAGUGAGGAUCCAACCAAUACUCUCCAUAAGCGCCCUGCUCCAACAUUAUUUUGGUAGUGUUGGAUGAAGAGAUAGUCCACACUUUACGGAAACAUAAAG
rfam:Candidatus Gottesmanbacteria bacterium RIFCSPLOWO2_01_FTLL_46_9 rifcsplowo2_01_scaffold_40462, whole genome shotgun sequence.